GCUCUGCAGGGUCCUAUUCCCUGCCACCUUCGAAGCCAUCUCAGCACGACUCACCUGCUGAGUGGCAGGCAGGGCGAAUGGUCCCCUACUCACCUUUGCUGGCUUUUCAUUGACAAAUUGCCUUUGUCCAUACAAGAAAUGAAUUCUCAAGAUAUAUCUUAAAUGCCCCCUGGUUGUGAACAUGGCUGAGGGUGCUAUGUAAUAAUAAGUAGUUUUUGUCUUCAAAUAAUAAUUCUAGCAUAUGAUCAAAAGCAAAUGCAUCAAGCUUUGUAACAGGCAACAGCCCCAGCUCGGGGGUUUGGGAUGCCUUGACCAGCAGCCUGCAAACCUGGCUUCAUGGUGGCUCCCCGAGUGUCACAGCCGCUGACAGCCUGCUCUGUGUGGCCCCAAGGACCUCACCCAGCCGGCCACGCUCCCCGUGGCACAGUGGCCCUCCUCCGCUUCUCUCCGAAUGAUGUGAAGCAAAUGUUACUGGAGAGCCUUCUUUCUGCCCUCUGGAGCGAUUCUUCUUAAAGUGAGCUCCCUAGAGCACUGCCCUGUCCCCCAGAUGUGCCCUGGAGCUCUGAUGCCCAAAUCCAAUGCUGGAGCCCACAUGCCAGGCGUGGGAAUGCCAAAGGACACGAAGCCAGGGGAAGUAUGCUCAGAAAAUGUUCAUAAUGUAAAAAGUCUUCAUUUCAUGCCUAAAUUGUCUGUUAGAAUUAAAUGUAAGCUCAUAUCAAAUUUAGCACAAAUGUA
rnacentral:lncRNA from 1 species